GAUGAACGCUGGCGGCGUGCCUAAUACAUGCAAGUCGAGCGAACAGAUGAGGAGCUUGCUCCUCUGACGUUAGCGGCGGACGGGUGAGUAACACGUGGAUAACCUACCUAUAAGACUGGGAUAACUUCGGGAAACCGGAGCUAAUACCGGAUAAUAUAUUGAACUGCAUGGUUCAAUAGUGAAAGACGGUUUUGCUGUCACUUAUAGAUGGAUCCGCGCCGCAUUAGCUAGUUGGUAAGGUAACGGCUUACCAAGGCAACGAUGCGUAGCCGACCUGAGAGGGUGAUCGGCCACACUGGAACUGAGACACGGUCCAGACUCCUACGGGAGGCAGCAGUAGGGAAUCUUCCGCAAUGGGCGAGAGCCUGACGGAGCAACGCCGCGUGGGUGAUGAAGGUCUUCGGAUCGUAAAGCUCUGUUAUUAGGGAAGAACAAAUGUGUAAGUAACUAUGCACGUCUUGACGGUACCUAAUCAGAAAGCCACGGCUAACUACGUG
rnacentral:rRNA from 1 species